UACGAAGGGGGCUAGCGUUGCUCGGAAUCACUGGGCGUAAAGCGCACGUAGGCGGAUCUUUAAGUCAGGGGUGAAAUCCUGGAGCUCAACUCUAGAACUGCCUUUGAUACUGGGGAUCUCGAGUCCGGAAGAGGUGAGUGGAACUCCGAGUGUAGAGGUGAAAUUCGUAGAUAUUCGGAAGAACACCAGUGGCGAAGGCGGCUCACUGGUCCGGUACUGACGCUGAGGUGCGAAAGCGUGGGGAGCAAGCAGG
rnacentral:rRNA from 1 species